UGGCAGGCAAAAACAUCUGUAAGCAUUGGUCCCGAGAAAACCCAACAAAUAUUACAAAUAAUCAAAACUGCAUCACCUGGUGCUUCGAAUAAGCUCACAUCCACCGCCUCAUCAAUGACAAGGACAGCAACUCAUCAAAGCAAUUAAGCAUCCACAAAACGGAGAGGCAUUCUUUCACCAAUCACCGACACAUGUUCAUGCACAGAUGCUGUCAGGUGAGGUCGCGCCAUAUAAGUAGUCACAGCAUAUCAGUUUCAAAAGAGACUAACAGUCAGGCAUAUUAUAAACGGACAAGAUGAUUUGUCACCGGCCAGAUUCAACAAAAGCAGCAGCAAGUAAACAUUGUAUUGAAUGGCGAAAAGAAUCAUAUAUUGCAGCUCUGCUGCCGUUCCCACUUCCUUACAUACAUCAUUAUUAGCUCUUAUCUACGCAGCAGUAACGGAAACACAUGAGAAUACCUCUUUUUUCAACUUGUUCUUUUCUCAGGUAACAAUCGAACAACAAUCUUCAAAAGAACACGUAAAAUGAAGAAAAAAUAAAAAGAAGACAGGCUGAAAGGCAAUAGGCAAACUCCCAUUGUAGAGAGUUGCAGCUAAUAGGCAAAAUAUCCAUACAUUAGGAACUGAUAUAGAGACCUUAAGCUUGGACCUUAUUGUCCCACUUGAGGGGCUUCACCACCUCCCAUGUGAAGUCGGGGUCAUCUCUGCCAAAGUGUCCAUAUGCUGCAGUCUUCAAGAACCUGCUAUUGCCACCUCUCUUGAGGUCAAGAUUGAUGGAAAUCAUACCAGGUCUGAAAU
rnacentral:lncRNA from 1 species